rnacentral:rRNA from 1 species
GAGUGACGGCGUACCUUUUGCAUAAUGGGUCAGCGAGUAAGUUUAUGGAGCUAGCUUAAGUUCUUAGAACGGAAGCGAAGUAAAAGCAAGCUACAAAUGAGCAUCAAAGUUCCAUGGACUUGACCCGAAACCGAGUGAUCUAGUCAUGAGCAGGUUGAAAAAACGAUAACACGUUUUGGAGGACCGAACUCACGCCUGUGGCAAUAGGCGGAGAUGACUUGUGAUUAGGGGUGAAAAGCCAAUCGAACUCGGAAAUAGCUGGUUUUCUGCGAAAUCUAUUGAGGUAGAGCGUAUAUAUAAUGUUUAUUGGGGGUAGAGCACUCGUUGGGUGAUGGUGGCCCAAAGCCUUACUGAUCCCAGAGAAACUCCGAAUACCAAUCAAUUAAUUAUACAGACAGACUUUGGGCGCUAAGGUCCAAAGUCGAGAGGGAAACAGCCCAGAUCGAUCGCUAAGGUUCCAAAGCAAUCCUUGAUAAAAUCAAGACAAGCAAAGCUUGACCUUUUUGUUUUUUAAACAAUAAGUAAACACUGAGUGGUUAAGGAAGUUAUUGGGCGAAAACAACCAGGAGGUAGGCUUGGAAGCAGCCAUCCUUUGAAGAAAGCGUAAUAGCUCACUGGUCUAUGCUCAAAAGCGCCUAAAAUGUAACGGAGCUCAAGUGAUUCACCGAAGCGGCGAUUCAAUAUUAAAAAAAUAAAUAUUGAAGGUAGCAGAACGUUCUGUAAGUCAUUGAAGAAAUUUCGUAAGAAAUUUUGAAGAUAUCAGAAGUGAGAAUGCUGACAUAAGUAACGUUAAAUCAUGUUAAAUUCAUGAUGGCCGAAAGUUCUAGGUUUUUUGCAGACUGUAAAUCGAUGCAAAUAAAGUCGGUCCCUAAGAUAUAAACGAAAGUUCUAAAUUAAUGGGAACAAGAAUAUUUCUUGACGUGAUUUGAUGUGACGAAUAUGGAUUGCUAAAAAAGCAUGCUCAAUUUUAGUUAAUAAAAAGGAUUUUAACUAAAAUUGAGCAUAUUCCAGGAAAUAACUCAAAUCUUUUACUUUAAAUAAAGUAAUACACCGUACCUAAACCAACACUGGUGAACUAGUAGAACAUACUAAGGCCUAGAGAGAACCAUAUUGAAGGAACUCGGCAAAUUACCUCCGUAACUUCGGGAAAAGGAGGACCAAGAAGAAUUCUUGGUGUCACAAAAUAGGGGGUGGCGACUGUUUACUAAAAACACAGGACUCUGCAAAGUGGUAACACGACGUAUAGGGUCUGACACCUGCCCGGUGCUGGAAACUUAACAGGAGGGGUAAGGAUAAUACCAAGCUCUGAAUGCAAAGCCCAGUAAACGGCGGCCGUAACUCUGACGGUCCUAAGGUAGCGAAAUUCCUUGUCGGGUAAGUUCCGACCUGCAUGAAUGGUGUCACGACUUCCCCGCUGUCUCCAAUAUGGUCUCAGUGAAAUUGAAUUCUCCGUGAAGAUGCGGAGUACCCUAAAGUAGACGGUAAGACCCU